rnacentral:lncRNA from 1 species
AUAAAGAACAUUCAGAAAGUUAAUUCAUAAGCAAUAUGAAAACUGUACUAGUUGUUUUUCAUAAUUUUAAAAAAAUAUUAAAUGAAGCCAUCCAUUUUGUAAAGGAAGUCAAAGAGAGAAAUACAGGAAUCCAGAACAAAGACAGUGAGUGAGACAACAGAAGAAAUAAGACAUGAUCUGUUAGAACUUGAGGAAGAAGUAGAAAAAAGGAAAAAAAUGCAAAAAUGAAGACAAAACUUGAAGAUAUGCAAAGGAGAGCAGAAACAUAUAAAAAUAUAUAAUAGGGGGCACAGAGAGUAACAAUUUAACUUUCGAACAUGAAGAAUGGAGAUGAAGACACAAAUAGGAACAAUUAGACAGACUGUAAUAAAUAUAGAAGAUGGGCAAAAUAAGUCAAUAUAUGCCUAAUUGGAGUCUUGAAUAAAUGAACAAAUAUUUAUACAAUUCUUGAAAAUUUUUAUUUAAUAUACAUACUAGAAGAACACACAGUCAGCUAGAGAAGUGGCCCAGAAUGAUUAACACUGAGCUAUAGUCUAGUCAGGUUAUUAGGCUUUAACAAUACAGAAACAAGUAGAAGGGGAAAAAAAUAAGGUAGGCUUCAAAUUUCUCUGAAGCCAUAGAAAAUACCAGAAUAGCAUUGAGCAAUAUCUAAAAGAUAAAUAAAAGAGAAAGCCUAAGCUCAGGCUGUAUUAAAACCAGGAUAUAAAAGAUGAAGCCACAUUUUGUAGGACAAGCUGCCCUACAAGUAAAAUAUACAAUAAUUCUAGAAAUAUUGUCUCUAUGAACAUUCUUGAGGAUCUAUUUAAGAAAUUGCCAAAGAAUUCAUGAAAGAAAAAGUCAGUGAGACAGAAAUAACCUAAUUAUGGAACUUCCCCUAAAAUGAAAAUGGAAACUAAAGUGGUUUGAACCACACAAUUGCAAUAUCCAUGGUUUCUUCUUUCCUCCUGCGUCUUUGCAUUUUCAUCUGGAGUUUUUUCUGCUUGAAGACCCUUUCAUGUUUUCUUUGGUGCUGUGUUAUUUUUUAUAUUUUUAAAACAUUUUUUAUCCUCCGUUGAAUUCAUAAACGCAGAACCCAAAGAUAGAAAGGGUUGACUGUAAUCGUUAAUAAAAAUCAUGCAACUGAAAAACAAUUUCAUAUUGAACAUUUUAUAUUCAUAUAUCAUUUUAAAGUCCUCAUUGAUGUAUCUUAAAUUAUUUUG